UCUAAGAGUGUAAUAUUCUCUU
rnacentral:snRNA from 1 species